rnacentral:rRNA from 1 species
UACGGAGGGUGCGAGCGUUGUCCGGAAUCAUUGGGCGUAAAGGGCGCGUAGGUGGCCCGGUCAGCGUGCGGUGAAAGCUCGGGGCUCAACCCCGAGUCGGCCGUGCGAACUGCUGGGCUUGAGCACUGUAGAGGCAGGCGGAAUUCCGGGUGUGGCGGUGGAAUGCGUAGAGAUCCGGAAGAACACCGGUGGCGAAGGCGGCCUGCUGGGCAGUGGCUGACACUGAGGCGCGACAGCGUGGGGAGCAAACAGG